rnacentral:rRNA from 1 species
UACAGAGGGGGCAAGCGUUAUUCGGAAUUAUUGGGCGUAAAGGGCGCGUAGGCGGCCUGGCAAGUGGAAGGUGAAAUCCCUCGGCUUAACCGAGGAACUGCCUUCCAAACUGCUUGGCUUGAGUUCGGGAGAGGUGAGUGGAACUGCGAGUGUAGAGGUGAAAUUCGUAGAUAUUCGCAAGAACACCAGUGGCGAAGGCGGCUCACUGGCCCGAUACUGACGCUGAGGCACGAAAGCGUGGGGAGCAAACAGGG